CCCUUAGAUGUUCUGGGCCGCACGCGCGCUACACUGAUGCAUUCAACGAGUCUAAAACCUGCUCUGAUAGGGGUGGGUAAUCUUUUGAAUGUGCAUCGUGAUUGGGAUAGAUGAUUGCAAUUUUUCAUCUUCAACGAGGAAUGCCUAGUAAACGCAAGUCAUCAGCUUGCAUUUAUUACGUCCCUGCCCUUUGUACACACCGCCCGUCGCUCCUACCGAUUGAAUGAUCCGAUGAAUAUCAUGGAUUGAGGAUGCAAGUAGGUUCGCCUAUCUUCAUCUUCGAGAAGUGAAGUAAAUCUUAUCAUUUAGAGGAAGGAGAAGUCGUAACA
rnacentral:rRNA from 1 species